CCUAUGGGAUGCAGCAGUGGGGAAUAUUGCACAAUGGGGGAAACCCUGAUGCAGCGACGCCGCGUGAGUGAAGAAGUAUUUCGGUAUGUAAAGCUCUAUCAGCAGGGAAGAAAAUGACGGUACCUGAGUAAGAAGCCCCGGCUAACUACGUGCCAGCAGCCGCGGUAAUACGUAGGUGGCAAGCGUUGUCCGGAUUUACUGGGUGUAAAGGGCGCGUAGACGGUUUGGCAAGUCGGAAGUGAAAGGCCGGGGCUUAACCCCGGGACUGCUUUGGAAACUGCAUACUGGAGUGCAGGAGAGGUAAGUGGAAUUCCUAGUGUAGCGGUGAAAUGCGUAGAUAUUAGGAGGAACACCAGUGGCGAAGGCGGCUUACUGGACUGUAACUGACGCUGAGGCUCGAAAGCGUGGGGAGCAAACAGGAUUAGAUACCCAAGUAGUCC
rnacentral:rRNA from 1 species